rnacentral:lncRNA from 1 species
GAGGAACCAAGAUCCUACAAUCCUGCCAUUCGACACCCUCACACUCACCUCCAACUCUUUGUCACAAAACAACCUCCCACUCACUGAGUAAUGAAGAACUCACCGAAGCUUCAAGCUUUCCGCCGGAGACGUUCGGGAUCGCAUAGCGUUCGUUUCGGUGAACAUGCUUGAAGAGAAGAUUGGACAUAGGAUGGGCCUUAGUUAACAAGAAACGGAUAAGUGUAGCUUAGUGGUUAUGAUCAAUGUUUCAUUUGUAAUUGUUUAUUUGAAUUAUUUGUUUCGUGAAACAUUUGUUAUGAAUAAAGUAUUAUUUA